GGAGGCAGGCUGUAGUUCACUGGUAGAGCAUCUGCUUUGCAUGCAGAAGGUCUCAGGUUCAAUCUCCAGUGGUAUCUCCA